rnacentral:rRNA from 1 species
GGAUUAGAUACCCUGGUAGUCCACGCAGUAAACGAUGAAUACUAGCUGUUUGCGAUAUACAGUAAGCGGUACAGCGAAAGCGUUAAGUAUUCCACCUGGGGAGUACGACCGCAAGGUUGAAACUCAAAGGAAUUGACGGGGGCCCGCACAAGCGGAGGAACAUGUGGUUUAAUUCGAUGAUACGCGAGGAACCUUACCCGGGCUUGAAAUGUACUCGACGAAGGAGGAAACUUCUUUUCCAGCAAUGGCGAGUAUGUAGGUGCUGCAUGGUUGUCGUCAGCUCGUGCCG